UACGGAGGGUGCGAGCGUUGUCCGGAUUUAUUGGGUUUAAAGGGUGCGUAGGUGGCUAUUUAAGUCAGUGGUGAAAUACAGCCGCUCAACGGUUGAGGUGCCAUUGAUACUGAAUAGCUUGAAAGAAUUGGAGGCUGCCGGAAUGGAUGGUGUAGCGGUGAAAUGCAUAGAUAUCAUCCAGAACACCGAUUGCGAAGGCAGGUGGCUACGAUUUAUUUGACACUGAGGCACGAAAGCAUGGGGAGCAAACAGG
rnacentral:rRNA from 2 species